UCUAAUGGUUAUAACUUUAUGUAUAAAUAGUCUUUUUAUUAUUAAUUUUGGAUAUAAAUCUGUUUUUAAUUUUAAUUAAAUGAAAUUAAAUUCUAAAUUGUACAAACUUUUAGUCCCCCUAAAUUGCUAACAACUUAAAAUUAAACAUUAGAAUAAAUGUCCAUGCUUGACUUAAAAUUACAGUAUACAUUUUUAUAUCAUAGCUAUUGUUCUUUAAAAUACUUUUCAGCAUUUCAGAAAUAAAUAUGUAUGCAAAUUACUCCAAAGUACAACACUUAACGUACCUUACGGUGUUAAAGAGUGCUCAAAAAGGGUUUAAGCACUGUAUUUUGAAUCGAUUACUUCUUGUAAACUCAGAGAUGUGAUUCAGAUGGCAAUUAAACUACCACACGACCUCAGUGUUUGUUAAGAUAAAAACAGCAGGUAAUUUUGCUGGGGAUUUUAAAGGGGGGGGAUGAGAGAAAAACACGACAGAAACAAUUACCAUCCGAAUAGGGCUUAAAUCGCCAUCUGAGUACAUUAAAUUUAUGAAGUGAUAUGUACAUUUAUUUUUACAGAUGUCCACAUCUGAAACAGUUACCAUCCGAAUCGGGCUUAAAGACUAUACUUUUCAGAUGUCAGAUUCGUAAAUGAUGCUGCCAUAAUGACUUUUUAUUAAGUUCACAGAUUUUAUCCUCCAUUAGAAUUUUUAUUUAUAUGUUUAUAGUAACUUUUUCUCUGAAAUAUAAAGCUACCUUCUUAUUUGGCUAAAUGACCUAAAUAAACUUUACAGUGCUUGUGAAAACUGUAUUACUGUAUGAAGUAAUUUAAGGUACUGGCAGCUGUGGUUGCCAGAAUUUUACUGUAAAUAUAGCAACAUUUUACGUUUUACAGAUUUAACUCAAAUUUACAUUUAAAAAUCAUAUUUAUCAUCACAAGCUGUUUUCUCGCUUGCUGAGGUGGAAAGAUAUAAACAGGUGCACAAGUGUCAAUCACACAAACACAAGACACCUUCAUAUAAACACACAAAACUGAAAUAUUGCAAUGAACACAUUGUUUUGGUAGUUUUAGUGUAUUGUGAAUGGGAAAUUUACUGCUGUGCCAAAAUGAAAGUUGAUUAGGAGAAUUGUGUGAAGAGUUUUGAAAACAAAACCUAGCAUAUACAGGUCACAGUGUGUGUAAUAUUAAAUAUAUUUACAGCAGCAGGUGGAAAUAAACUGAAUCUUCACCCACCAUGCUGGGGGUUAUGUACUGUAAGUUAUGAUAUAAACCAGCAUGUUAAUUCAUAUAAAUCCACCGUAACCAGGCAAAUUCAUGUUCCACAGCUGUGCAUCCUAAAGCUCUUGACCACAAACACAAGAGCAGCAGUGGAGAAAAAGACUAUUACAGCUCAUCAAAAGCUGAAAUUAAUACAUGGCAGAAAAUCGCCACAAACUACAGGAAUCACAAAAAAUGAGCAGCAAUGAGGAUGAGAGACAAUCUACUGAAGCAGGAGAGAAACAGAUACUGAGAAGAGCUCAAUGGAGCAGCAUCCAUAAAAAAAGACCAAACUUUUCUCAUGAUUCAGACACUCAGAGAAAACAGAUGUUCCAGUUUCAUCGUCAUUGUCUGUCGCUGAAGCUGCGGAUUUACAAACGCCUUAAGAAACUCUUCUAUUCCACUGUUUGAUUAUAUCUACACUACAGUAACCGUUUUAUAUGUAGCUUUAAAUUCAUUUCAUCUGGUUCUGUAAAAAAUAUAAUUAUAUGAUUCAGUGUUAAUAUAGUAUUCAUAAGUGAAUCUACAUUAAUAACAGCAUUGCAUUGAAAGUUACAUUUAUUUUGGCAAUUAUUCCAUUCCUUGAUGUUACUUGCACCAUACUCAGCUAAUUCAUAUUAAGAUAUGUAAAGUAGGAAGAAUGUGUGUAUGAAUGUAUUUGUGAAUGUUUUUAUGUGUUUGUUUUAUAUUAACCACCUAUAAACUGUAAUCACUGUAUGUAUCUGUGUCAUACAUUGUCACAGAUUCUCAAAUAUGAUGUUGGCAUAAUAACUUUUAAGUUGUCACUAUGUUUUAUCCACCAUUGGAGUCACUGGUUGUCAAUAAAGAAACUGUAAUUAA